GUGGGGAAUAUUCCGCAAUGGACGAAAGUCUGACGGAGCAACGCCGCGUGAGUGAUGAAGGUUUUCGGACUGUAAAGCUCUGUUGUUUAGGACGAAAGUGCCUGUUGCAAAUAGUUACAGGUAUUGACGGUACUGAACGAGGAAGCCACGGCUAACUACGUGCCAGCAGCCGCGGUAAUACGUAGGUGGCAAGCGUUGUCCGGAAUUAUUGGGCGUAAAGAGCAUGUAGGCGGGAAUCUAAGUCUGUUGUGAAAAUGCGGGGCUCAACCCCGUAUUGCGAUGGAAACUGGGUUUCUUGAGUGCAGGAGAGGAAAGGGGAAUUCCCAGUGUAGCGGUGAAAUGCGUAGAUAUUGGGAGGAACACCAGUGGCGAAGGCGCCUUUCUGGACUGUGUCUGACGCUGAGAUGCGAAAGCCAGGGUAGCGAACGGGAUUAGAAACCCGUGUAUCC
rnacentral:rRNA from 1 species